AAUAAACCUGAUUGUUGUGCCGCUGGGAUGCGCUCUGUCGGGAGUGGUGACGUCACCUCUUGGUCGACGCCGAGCCAUGCAGGCGGUCAAUCUGCCCUUCAUCAUCGCCUGGCUACUCUUCUACUACUCGAAGACCCCUGUUUACCUCUAGGCCGCUCUCUUUCUAACCGGUCUCGCUGGAGGAUUGCUUGAAGCGCCAGUGCUGACUUACGUUGCGGAGAUCACGCAGCCGCACUUGCGCGGCUCGUUGUCCGCCACCAGUUCGAUGUGUGUCAUCCUCGGAGUGUUCACUCAAUUCCUGUUCGGUACAUUGAUGAACUGGCGUACGGUAGCACUUGUGAACAUUAGUUUUACAAUAGUAGCCGUCAUUGCACUAUUCUUUAUCCCGGAAUCACCGCAUUGGCUGAUAUCAAGAAACCGAGACUACGAAGCUAAGA